rnacentral:rRNA from 1 species
GAUCAUGGCUCAGGAUGAACGCUGGCGGCAUGCCUAAUACAUGCAAGUCGAACGAGAGGAAGGAAAGCUUGCUUUUCUGAAUCUAGUGGCGAACGGGUGAGUAACGCGUAUCCAACCUGCCCAUCACUUGGGAAUAACCUUGCGAAAGUAAGACUAAUGCCCAAUGAUAUCCCACGAAGGCAUCCGAAUGGGAUUAAAGAUUUAUCGGUGAUGGAUGGGGAUGCGU